CCUACGGGAGGCUGCAGUCGAGAAUCAUUCACAAUGGGGGAAACCCUGAUGGUGCGACGCCGCGUGGGGGAAUGAAGGUCUUCGGAUUGUAAACCCCUGUCAUGUGGGAGCAAAUUAAAAAGAUAGUACCACACGAGGAAGAGACGGCUAACUCUGUGCCAGCAGCCGCGGUAAUACAGAGGUCUCAAGCGUUGUUCGGAAUCACUGGGCGUAAAGCGUGCGUAGGCUGUUUCGUAAGUCGUGUGUGAAAGGCGCGGGCUCAACCCGCGGACGGCACAUGAUACUGCGAGACUAGAGUAAUGGAGGGGGAACCGGAAGUCUCGGUGGAGCAGGGAAAUGCGUAGAUAUCGAGAGGAACACUCGUGGCGAAGGUGGGUUCCUGGACAUUAACUGACGCUGAGGCACGAAGGCCAGGGGAGCGAAAGGGAUUAGAUACCCGGGUAGUC
rnacentral:rRNA from 1 species